rnacentral:rRNA from 1 species
UGAACGCUGGCGGCGUGCUUAACACAUGCAAGUCGAACGAGAAAGGGAUUGCUUGCAAUCCUGAGUAGAGUGGCGCACGGGUGAGUAACACGUAGAUAAUCUACCUUCAAGCCUGGAAUAACUAUUCGAAAGGAUAGCUAAUACCGGAUAAAGUAUUUUAGCAAAAGUUAACCUAUGAAAGAUUGCCUCUAUUUAUAAGCAAUUGUUUGGAGAUGAGUUUGCGGACCAUUAGUUAGUUGGUGGGGUAACGGCCUACCAAGACAACGAUGGUUAGCUGGUCUGAGAGGAUGAUCAGCCACACUGGAACUGGUACACGGUCCAGACUCCUACGGGAGGCAGCAGUGAGGAAUUUUGCGCAAUGGGGGGAACCCUGACGCAGCAACGCCGCGUGAGUGAAGAAGGCCUUUGGGUCGUAAAGCUCUGUCGACAGGGAAGAAGUUAUGGUUAUCCAAUAGGCAGCCAUAUUGACGGUACCUGUAGAGGAAGCACCGGCUAACUCC